GACUGAGUGGCGGACGGGUGAGUAACGCGUGGGUAACCUGCCUCAUACAGGGGGAUAACAGUUAGAAAUGGCUGCUAAUACCGCAUAAGCGCACGGUACUGCAUGGUACAGUGUGAAAAACUCCGGUGGUAUGAGAUGGACCCGCGUCUGAUUAGCUAGUUGGUGGGGUAACGGCCUACCAAGGCGACGAUCAAUAGCCGACCUGAGAGGGUGACCGGCCACAUUGGGACUGAGACACGGCCCAGACUCC
rnacentral:rRNA from 1 species